UAAUGAAUAUGAAAAAAGGAACUGCGUCAACAGUUCCCUUUUGACAGCACCGCUAAAGACGGUGACGGAUUAAUAGUUAGAUCAAAGA
rnacentral:sRNA from 1 species